rnacentral:piRNA from 1 species
AAAGGUUUAUCUAAUUACUAA